rnacentral:snoRNA from 1 species
UCUUGUGAUGAAACGGCACUGGGCUCCGAUAGUACAUGAGCAGAGAAGCCAUUUUGCGGCAGGCCUAGAAAACCUCGCCCACUGAUU